GACGAACGCUGGCGGCGUGCUUAACACAUGCAAGUCGAACGGAAAGGCCCUGCUUUUGUGGGGUGCUCGAGUGGCGAACGGGUGAGUAACACGUGAGUAACCUGCCCUUGACUUUGGGAUAACUUCAGGAAACUGGGGCUAAUACCGAUAGGAGCUCCUGCUGCAUGGUGGGGGUUGGAAAGUUUCGGCGGUUGGGGAUGGACUCGCGGCUUAUCAGCUUGUUGGUGGGGUAGUGGCUUACCAAGGCUUUGACGGGUAGCCGGCCUGAGAGGGUGACCGGCCACAUUGGGACUGAGAUACGGCCCAGACUCCUACGGGAGGCAGCAGUGGGGAAUAUUGCACAAUGGGCGGAAGCCUGAUGCAGCAACGCCGCGUGCGGGAUGACGGCCCUCGGGUUGUAAACCGCUUUCGCCUGUGACGAAGCGUGAGUGACGGUAAUGGGUAAAGAAGCACCGGCUAACUACGUG
rnacentral:rRNA from 1 species